rnacentral:lncRNA from 1 species
AAAAAACAGAAGUUGGAAAAACAUUUGAAAACGAGGUUAGGAAAUUAUUUUUGAAAUCAAAGGAAAAGAAUUUUGAGGGGGUGGCACGUGGCUCAAAAAGUGGCCAUGCAAAAGGUAGCCUUACAGUGAGAAUGGGUGCUUGAAUAGUCUCUUGAUUAGGCAAUGGCAUUGUGAGGCUCUGCUUAUCUUUGGGAUCCCAGUUGAGUAACUAUCUUGAUCUUGAUAUCAGGGAUGUCUUAUCUAAAGAGCCUAAGUGUCCAUCCUUACAUGGUUUUGACUUGGCUUGUUGAAUACAGAAAUCCUUACUCAUAGCAUCCCCACAUCAAAAGUUGUAUUUGGAACCAUGUACGUAUCUCCAUUCUUGUCUUUCACCAAGAUGUCCAAAUUCUUUGCCUCUUCGAAGAUAUUUCUCCUUCCGUUUGGCUUCUCAUUAGUCUUGCCAUAUCCAUUUCCCAAUUCCACCAAAGAUGUGAUCCGAUCAGAGUCUCCUCUUGAU